rnacentral:rRNA from 1 species
CUGGCGGCGUGCCUAAUACAUGCAAGUCGAGCGGAAUGAUGAAGAAGCUUGCUUCUUCUGAUUUUAGCGGCGGACGGGUGAGUAACACGUGGGCAACCUACCUUGUAGAUUGGGAUAACUCCGGGAAACCGGGGCUAAUACCGGAUAAUCCAUUUUGCUUCAUGGCGAGAUGUUAAAAGGCGGCUUCGGCUGUCACUACGAGAUGGGCCCGCGGCGCAUUAGCUAGUUGGUAGGGUAAUGGCCUACCAAGGCGACGAUGCGUAGCCGACCUGAGAGGGUGAUCGGCCACACUGGGACUGAGACACGGCCCAGACUCCUACGGGAGGCAGCAGUAGGGAAUCUUCCACAAUGGACGAAAGUCUGAUGGAGCAACGCCGCGUGAGUGAAGAAGGUUUUCGGAUCGUAAAACUCUGUUGUAAGGGAAGAACACGUACGAGAGUAACUGCUCGUACCUUGACGGUACCUUAUUAGAAAGCCACGGCUAACUACGUG